rnacentral:rRNA from 1 species
AAUCAACGCUGGCGGCGUGCCUAACACAUGCAAGUCGCACGAGAAAGGGGAGCAAUCCCUGAGUAAAGUGGCGCACGGGUGAGUAACACGUGAAUCAUCUACCUCCGAGUGGGGAAGUAACUGAGAGAAAUCUUAGCUAAUACCGCAUAACACUUACGAGUCAAAGCAGCAAUGCGCUUGGAGAGGAGUUCGCGGCCGAUUAGUUAGUUGGCGGGGUAAGUGGCCCACCAAGACGAUGAUCGGUAUCCGGCCUGAGAGGGCGCACGGACACACUGGAACUGAAACACGGUCCAGACUCCUACGGGAGGCAGCAGUGGGGAAUUUUGCGCAAUGGGGGAAACCCUGACGCAGCAACGCCGCGUGGAGGAUGAAGUAUCUUGGUACGUAAACUCCUUUCGAUUGGGAAGAUAAUGACGGUACCAAUAGAAGAACGCCCCGGCUAACUUCGUGCCAGCAGCCGCCGUAAC